CCUACGUGUGGCAGCCGUGGGGAAUAUUGGACAAUGGGGGGAACCCUGAUCCAGCGACGCCGCGUGAGUGAAGAAGUAUUUCGGUAUGUAAAGCUCUAUCAGCAGGGAAGAAAGGCAUGACGGUCCCUGACUAAGAAGCCCCGUCUAACUACGUGCCCGCAGCCGCGGUAAUACGUAGGGGGCAAGCGUUAUCCGUAUUUACUGGGUGUAAAGGGAGCGUAGACGGUUACGCAAGUCUGGAGUGAAAGGCGGGGGCCCAACCCCCGGACUGCUUUGGAAACUGUAUAACUGGAGGGCAGGAGAGGUAAGUGGAAUUCCUAGUGUAGCGAUGAAAUGCGUAGAUAUUAGGAGGAACACCAGUGGCGAAGGCGGCUUACUGGACUGUAACUGACGUUGAGGCUCGAAAGCGUGGGGAGCAAACAGGAGUAGAUACCCGGGUAGUC
rnacentral:rRNA from 1 species